ensembl:lncRNA
AUGGAUCCACUUCUCUUGGCAAAUAUCUGUCGACGACAACCCACAACAUAUCUCGGUCCAUUUGUAGCUUUAACAAUGAAUUUUUCUUCAGUUAACUGCUUAAGUACUUCACCCACAAUCUGCCCAACACUUUGUAGAGCCUUCAGAUCAUUUUCAGACUUUUCAUACUGCUUGGUAAGUUCUUUUAAUUGUUCCCUUAACUCCUUGAGACGGCCGUCAAUCUCUUUGUUCUCCAGCAGUUUCUUGCGGUAGUCCUGAAGCGCCUUAUCUCUAGGGUCCGCCAUGAUGAGAAGCCGUUGCUCAUAGGGGAUGCCGGGAAUGGCCAUGGCCGCCCGGGCGGGGGAAGGGGCGGGGCCUCCCUUUGACCUUUUUACUCUUCUCCGCCCUGCUCACUCUCCUCAGACCACACUGGUCUCCUUCCAGUUCCCAUUUUCGAGGGCUGCCUUGACCUCAGGAUCUUUGCUCUUCCUCCUCACUUUUCCCUUAAUACUUUUCCCCCAAAUACUCACAUGGCUUGCUCCUUCAUUUCUUUAAGUCUCUGCUCAAAUGUCCCUUCUCAGUGAGGCCUUCCCUGACCACUCCAUUUAAAAUUGCAGUGACCUGACCUCCACACCUGCUCUGGCAUCCCCACCACAUCCUUCUUCCCUGCUUAAUAUUUUUCAUAGCACUUACCCCUCCUAGUCUGUGAUAUAAUUUAUUUAUUUAUUUUGUUCAUUGUUUGUCCUCUCCCACUACCACCAUCACCACCACUAUAACGGUAAAUUCUGUAAGUCAGGAAGUUUUGUCUGUAUUAGUCAUUGAUGCUCAGCACCUAAAAGAGUAUCAGGCACAGUCAGCCUCGGUAAGCAUUUCGUGAAUAGAUGAACGCCAAGGUAAUGGUAGGGGAGGUAAAUCAGUGAAGGAUCAUUUCAGGAUGCGGGGAUGGCACAAAACAGCAAUGAAAGGUUAAAGAGUGAGACGAUCAGGCAACUGAAAUGAGAUGUAUAUAGCUGGAAUGAAGGGCCUGUGGAAAUAUAGCCAAGAGGCAGGGGAUGGUUUGCCACGCUAAGAUCUUUGAACUGCAGCCUAAAGCAACAAGGUGUCUAGUUGAAAGAUUUUUAAGCUCAGUGGAGAGAGCUGUGAAACCUGAUCAUGUCAGUAGUUUAGAAAGAUCGCUCUGCCAGAGAUAUCAGUUUAGAAGUGGUGAGGCCAGACUCAAGGAGACCAGUUGUUUCCAAUUGCAGCAGAUCUGAUGACAAAUGAUGAGGACUCUAAAUCAAUGGCCAGAGGUAUUAACACAGAAAGAGAGUGAAUUCGAAGGAUAAUUAGGAAGUUGAAUCUUCAGGACUCUGUAAACAAAUCAGUUGUGAGUUGUGAGACAGAGCAAGAAUUCAGGAUGACAACCAGAUUUCUAGCUUGGGUAAUUUGAGAGGUGAUGGUGCCAUUCACUGAACACAGAUGAAAAGCAAUUAUACAGCCUCACCAGUCAUCUUCCUGUUAUUGGGUCACCAGGGCCCAGUGAUGAUGGGCGCAAAGCCCAAGCCAUUCAUCUGUAUUCACCGUAUGUGAACACCCUGCUGGUGGCAGGAAGUCUGAUCUGAGCACCAUGAGUCAGCAGCCUCCCUUC